rnacentral:rRNA from 1 species
CCCUUAGAUGUUCUGGGCCGCACGCGUGCUACACUGAGUGGAUCAGCGGGUCAGGUUGCGCGAAAGUGUUUCCUAAUCUUGAAAUCCGCUCGUGAUGGGGAUUGACGGUUGCAAUUUUCCGUCAUGAACGAGGAAUACCUUGUAAGCGCGGGUCAUCAUCCCGCGCUGAAUACGUCCCUGCCCUUUGUACACACCGCCCGUCGCUCCUACCGAUUGAGUGGUCCGGUGAGGCUUUGGGAUCUGGAUGGAAAGAGCGUUUCGCUGUUUCUGCCCGGAAAACUCAGUCGAACCUUAUCAUUUAGAGGAAGGAGAAGUCGUAACA